AGGGGUUAUUAAUUUUUUAAAUUGGGUGGAGGAGGGUUUGUAGGUGGCACCAAUAGGGAUGGUGCCUUUUCAUCAGUUGACAUUGGUGGAGGGGCUGCAGCAGGCCGCACCCUUGGUGGAAGUGAUCGGACGGUCACAGGAAAAGAAUUUCUUGACCAAUGGUCAGGUAGUCAACCCAAUUUUCAAGCCUUUUGAGGCUUAAAAAUUGCCUAAUAUAAGGGUAUGACUGUUGAAAGAAAAAAAGAAAGAAAGGAAAAGAGAAGAUUUGGGGUGUUUGAAGGAGGAGGCACCAACAGCAAAAGGGAAAGAGGAACGAAGUAUAUUAAGAUUUAAAGUUAGGGUCCGUACUGCGUACUGAAGGGUCAUGUCAACGAUGUGGGCUAUCUGCUAGAGCUUCGUUUUAUGCCAUACUUAGAGGCAUCCAGAUUUGGAUCAGGUGCAAUGAUCCACACAUUUGAUUUAAAGUACAACUUGAUAACGGCUUUGGUCGAGUGGUGGUGCCCAGAGACCUACACAUUUCAUUUGCUGUGUGGGGAGUGCACCAUCACUUUGGAAGAUGUUGUACUACAACUCGGGCUCUCAAUCGAUGGUAGUGUAGUCACGGAUGUAAGUACAGUGUUUGAACCAGCAACCCUUUACUACAGUGUUCGAACCCGAAACCCUUUACUAUGACUUACUAGGGCGCUCAUCUAGUAAUGGUGGCAAAAACAUUUAUAAGUUUAAGAUUUUCAUGGUUGAAGGUGAAUUUUGAGUAUUUACCAAGUACUACCACUGAAAGGGA